CUCCUGGUUUCAAGGAAUCCAUCUGCCUCAGCCUCCCAAAGUGUUGGGCUUACAGGUGUGAGCCACCAUCCAGGCCAUCAAAGGGUAUUUACUUGUAUUACAUCUGUAGCCCCUACCCUACAUGCAGAAAAAUCUGGUUCUUACGGACACAAGACAUGAGAGUAUUAGAAUAUCCCACAAUUACUUAGUUGCUUUCUAGUCAACACAUUUUAAGUCCCUAGGUAAAUUAGCACACUCUCCACUUCCAUCAACACAGAGAAUGCUACAAGGCAAUGUUUAAACACAUGUAUGAGCAUCAGCCACUUCCAAAAAUGGAACUGUCCCAGGAGCUCUGUGUGGUCACCAGGCUGGGGGGCUGCGGUUAGAGGAGAGGAGCACAACGUUAGCAAGAGAAUGAAAACGCUCCUUUCCUUCUCUCCUCACCAGCCCGGCCUGCCCUCUAGUGGAGAUGCUAAAGAGCACAGGAAACAGGCCAAGGCAGGUCAGGCAGGAAGUCAGCUAGCUGACAUUUACUUAGCAAUUAUCAGACAUGGUCUUAAAAUGGGUACUGAAGGUAGAAAACCUCUCUGUGGCUUUAAGCGCAGCUGGAGAGACUAGAGGUUACCCAAAUGAAAUGUGUUUCACAAACUGGAACCAAGCAAAGUACCAAAUUUCAAAAUCAAGAGAGGAAAGGCAAAACUGAGUGUAUCAAAAUGACUUCACUAUAAUUAUUUUUAAAGAUAUGCCAUUUUAUUUUUUUCAAUAGACAUAUAGUAUACCCUAAGAUAUAAAUGCUCUUAUACAGUUUGAAAAACAUUACAGGUCAUAGUGAGAUAAGUUCAUAGACUUAAAAAUCUUUUUCACUUAAAAAAAUUAAUCAAUGGAUCCAGUGAUUAAUCCUGUAUCUUUCCCAGUUGAUGCAAUGUGAAGAAGGACUCAUUUUGGUCAUAAAACCUAAGAUUUUUUAACACUUA